GCACUGAUGCUAAACGAACCCUGUCUAAGAUGAGCAGCCUUCUGGUGAAUUUGGAAAUGUGCUCUCCAGGUGCCAGAUCAAUGCUUAUUAUGAAGGGCAUUUAGCUUUGUUUGAGUUCAUAUUUCUCCUCUUAUUGUUUUGCAGAGUUUUUGUUUCAGUCUCUGUGGUUAAAUAGACUGAUGACUUUUGGGUAAAAGAAAGGCUUUGUCUAGUUAUAACAAUUUCACUGCAUGCUACUGCUGUUAGCCUCUGCAAUGUAACACUUAUAAGUGUGAAAAUAAAUGCACCAUGUGAAAAUUAUUAUUGUUA